rnacentral:rRNA from 1 species
GACGAACCGAGCGAACGUUGUUCGGAAUCACUGGGCUUAAAAGGGCGCGUAGGCGGGCUGCCAAGUCCGUGGUGAAAUCCCCCGGCUCAACCGGGGAAGGGCCUCGGAUACUGGCGGCCUCGAGGGGGGUAGGGGCGUGCGGAACUGUGGGUGGAGCGGUGAAAUGCGUUGAUAUCCACAGGAACUCCGGUGGCGAAGGCGGCACGCUGGACCCCAUCUGACGCUGAGGCGCGAAAGCCAGGGGAGCGAACGGG